rnacentral:rRNA from 1 species
GUCGUGCGGUAACACUUCGGGUGACGAGCGGCGGACGGGUGCGUAACGCGUGAGAAUCUACCUUUUAGUGGGGGACAACUCGGGGAAACUCGAGCUAAUACCGCAUGUGUCCUACGGGAUAAAGCAGGGGAUCUUCGGACCUUGUGCUAAAAGAUGAGCUCGCGUGAGAUUAGCUUGUUGGUAGGGUAAUGGCCUACCAAGGCGACGAUCUCUAGCUGGUCUGAGAGGAUGAUCAGCCACACUGGGACUGAGACACGGCCCAGACUCCUACGGGAGGCAGCAGUGGGGAAUAUUGGACAAUGGGGGCAACCCUGAUCCAGCAAUUCCGCGUGCGUGAAGAAGGCCUGCGGGUUGUAAAGCACUUUCAGUAGCCAAGAUGGGGUUAUUCGCUAACAUCGGAUAAUCUUGACAUUAACUACAGAAGAAGCACCGGCUAACUCCGUGCCAGCAGCCGCGGUAAUACGGAGGGUGCAAAGCGUUAAAUCGGAAAUUACUGGGCGUAAAGAGUACGUAGGCGGGCUUUUU